rnacentral:rRNA from 1 species
UGUGUAUCAGUACAUGGCAUAUCAAUAAGCGGAGGAAAAGAAACUAACAAGGAUUCCCCUAGUAACGGCGAGUGAAGCGGGAAGAGCUCAAAUUUGAAAUCUUAAAGGGUUUCCCUUUACGAAUUGUAGUUUAAAGAAGUGUUUUCUGUUGGAGUUUCGGUAAAAGUUCUUUGGAAUAGGACAUCAUAGAGGGUGAGAAUCCCGUAUUUGACCGUUACUUUCCAGCUGUGUGAUACACUUUCAAAGAGUCGGAUUGUUUGGGAAUGCAGUCCAAGAUGGGUGGUAAAUUUCAUCUAAAGCUAAAUAUUGGCGAGAGACCGAUAGCGAACAAGUACCGUGAGGGAAAGAUGAAAAGAACUUUGAAAAGAGAGUUAAACAGUACGUGAAAUUGUCAAAAGGGAAGCGUUUGACACCAGUGUUGUUUAGUUGAAAAUCAAUUCAAUAGUUUUUGAUUCUAAGUAGUAUUGACUUCAUCAGCUUGCUGCUUUCUUCUCAGAAAUUAUUGAAUGCACUUUUCAGUUAACAAGUCAACAUCAAUUUCUUUUGUUGUAAAAGGGUAAGAGGAAGGUGGCUUGCGCUUCGGCUCAAGUGUUUAUAGCCUUUUAUCUCUGCAAUCGGAGAGAUUGAGGUCUGCAGCGUAGAUCCUUCGGGGUUAGAUACAUUGGUGCUAAGCUAUAGCCUUGUAUAGACAACUUGUUGACUAUGCUCAGUCAUGUAGCUUACUCGCUGAUGCUAUUUUACCUACGCUUAGGAUGUUGACAGCAGUAUAGACUGU